AUUGAACGCUGGCGGCAGGCUUAACACAUGCAAGUCGAGCGAGCGGCGGAGGGGUGAGUAAUGUCUGGGAAACGGCCUGAUGGAGGGGGAUAACUACUGGAAACGGUAGCUAAAACCGCAUACCAUCAGAUGGGCCCAGAUGUGAUUAGCUAGUAGGUGGGGUAAUGGCUCACCUAGGCGACGAUACCUAGCUGGUCUGAGAGGGUGACCAGCCACACUGGAACUGAGACACGGCCCAGACUCCUACGGGAGGCAGCAGUGGGGAAUAUUGCACAAUGGGCGCAAGUCUGAUGCAGCAAUGCCGCGUGUGUGAAGAAGGCCUUCGGGUUGUAAAGCACUUUCAGUGGGGAGGCGGUAAUCGAAGAAGAAGCACCGGCUAACUCCGUGCCAGCAGCCGCGGUAAUUC
rnacentral:rRNA from 1 species